rnacentral:lncRNA from 1 species
AGGAAUUAUAAAUAGCUGCCCCGUGAAAUAUUCGUCUCCUGAUUCCUGAGAGGGCGCUUCUGUGAAAAGAAAGAAGGCAGAUAACUGGAUUCCUUGUAAACAUGCUGAAAACUGACCUUUUGGUAUAUAGACUAAAGGGUAUACCUGAGACCACACAAGAAGAGAAGACAGGCAGAGUGGUAUCUGCGUCUCAUUCUGGUACAAAGGCCCAUUUGCAUCAAGUGAAAUGUGGACUUUGGAUGUGCGAAAUAAUCUGUGAGAACACUGCUCAGCUAAAGCCCUAGGGCAAAGACUGAAGGCUUCACUGGACAGACAAGUCCUUCCUGUCUCUGACCCUGUGCAUUCGGGGUGACCCAGCUAUAUAAUAUUCCACGAGGGGGAGGAUGACACACCUCAGUUCCACUGGGAUAGAAGCUCCUGUGCACCAGAUCCUCUCAGACCUCGUCCCAGGCAUCUCUCAUUCUGGCUGUUCCGCUGUAUCCUUUAUCAU